GAGAGCCGUAUGCAUUGAAAGGUGCAUCUACGGUUCGGGUGGAGGCACUGGGGCUUCCUCGCAAGACGCGUCUCGCGCCGAUCCUAC
rnacentral:ncRNA from 1 species